rnacentral:ncRNA from 1 species
AGUGCUGCCGGAAUGGUCCGGCAGAAAAGGGAAUCAGGUGAAAAUCCUGAGCGAUCCGGUCACUGUAAUGGAGGAGCGGCUUUUCGGAUACCCAUUGUGCCAGGCAUGAGAAGGGGAAAAGCGGCGAUGAGCCCAGAGCCAGGAAACCUGCUUUGUGU